rnacentral:rRNA from 1 species
CUGCAUGAAGUUGGAAUCGCUAGUAAUCGCGGAUCAGCAUGCCGCGGUGAAUACGUUCCCGGGCCUUGUACACACCGCCCGUCACACCAUGAGAGUCGGGAACACCCGAAGUCCGUAGCCUAACCGCAAGGGGGCGCGGCCGAAGGUGGGUUCGAUAAUUGGGGUGAAGUCGUAACAAGGUACC